UCCUGGUUAGCUCAGUUGGUAGAGCGAUCCACCUGUAGUGGAGAGGUCCCGGGUUCGAUACCCGGACCAGGCG
rnacentral:tRNA from 1 species